UACGUAGGGUGCAAGCGUUGUCCGGAAUUAUUGGGCGUAAAGAGCUCGUAGGCGGUCUGUCACGUCGGCUGUGAAAACCCGAGGCUCAACCUCGGGCUUGCAGUCGAUACGGGCAGACUAGAGUUCGGUAGGGGAGACUGGAAUUCCUGGUGUAGCGGUGAAAUGCGCAGAAUAUCAGGAGGAACACCGGUGGCGAAGGCGGGU
rnacentral:rRNA from 1 species